AAUGGUGUAAUGUCUGAGAACUGCCGGGCAUGUUAGAGACUGUAUAUGUUGUAUUCACAAGAGAGUGCCCAAGAUAGAAAGAAUUCAUUUUCAUAUUCCACCUCCAGCAUCUACCAGGUUCCCAGAGCAAGUAGAUUUCUCCUGCAUUCAUAGCACCAUGCCUUCUUGCCCCAUUAAUCAGACUGUCCUGCACCAAGUCCCAUCUCUCAGGGUCCUGCUCUCUGAUAGGCAACAGUUCAGUCAGUGGGUGCUAAAGAGUUGAGUGUUACACUUCUUGGGUGACCUUUACCUUUUAAUUGGGGCUAUAGACAAUGCCUUAAUCUGAAGGAGUAGCUUGAAUGCUGGGAAUUUCAGGUGCAGAAGUGGGCCAGUAAGAGAGAUUAGUUUUUUUCUUAGGAGGGCAUUUUAGAGCCUCCUCUUCCCCAUACCCAUCUUUAAAGUCAGCUCAUACAUACAUGAGCACAAACAAGCACACUUACCUACAUCUACAUCCCAUAAUUUUGGAAUACCUCCCUUGCAUUGGCCCUAUCUUUAAACAUAAAAAUAAAUUAGAAAUGAACCAGCUAAAUUAAUUCAAACCUCAUUGGGAAAUGCAGCCUAUUUUUUCACCGGCCACCAGCCAUCUGGUCUACCCCACCCUGUUCCAUUUCCUUCCUGCUCCUUCUCUUUUCGGCUACUGGCCUAUCAGUUAACUUAUGUGUAAAUGUCCUUUGCUCUUCCCUUGCUUCCCCCUAAAUGUAUUUCCCCACACCCUUGGACUUGUGUUGUUUUCGGUGUUGUGAAGGACAGAAGUGGAGGCUAAGAGCAUGAGCAUGUACGUAUGUCACUGAAGACAGAGAAGCCAGGUAUUCUGCUACAGUUUGAAGAAUAACGCCACAAAGGAAGAGGUGAAAGCCGGCUCUGCAGAGUGCCUUAAAAAUGACUUUAAUUAGGAAAUUCCGAGUCGUCAGUCUUUGGAUGUUACAUAAACUCAAUGGAUGUUGCAUUUCACUUCUCUGGGAUUAAAAAAAAAAAGUUAAAUACAGUAUGUAUUCAACAAUG
rnacentral:lncRNA from 1 species